AUGGAACUCCAAGAGAGCUUCGAUGUUGAGCCUUUGUUUUCCACCCCCACCGACACCGACUGGGGGAUCCCGAUGUCCCCUCUUCCUCUUCCUCUUCCUCUUCCUGUCCCACCCAGCAGCAGCCAUAUGAUUAUGGACAGCUUGGCCGGAGUACUUUGUAGAUGUAGUUUCUGGCGUUGGUGGGAUUUGCGUACACCAAAUGGGUUUUGGAAAAAACAGACAAGCGACAGGGUGAUCAGGGCGGGACACAACGGGGUUGUCGGGGUCAAGAGGACCAUCAAGUUUCACCCUUCCCCGCCCACGUCCACGGGAGAUGAUGCAUUGCCGUUGCCGGGCACCAACACCAACUGGAUCAUGAACGUCUACUAUUAUUGUCUCCACGGAUCUGUCCAGCAUGGUUUAGUCCUGUGCCAUGUAUUCGAGACAGACUCAACCGACUACGACGACACUCCCAAAUGCAUCAGCGUCGGAUGCCAUCCAGGAUCUUGCAAUGGAAACCACAGUGGUCAAGCAUUCGGAGCUCCAAGCAGCAACGCUUUAUCCAAUUCAACACAUCCAGGAUUAAACUCUUACAUUGCAGAACUUGGGAACCUCUUGCUCGGUGACCCUGGUGACCAUGACAACUCCGCAGAUACUGCAAACUCUAGUGCAACAGCAGGCGCACCUCCAAAAGCUGACCAUGGGCUCUCGAAAAAGCGCAAGAAGACCUCGGAUGUUUGGGAUUACUUCACCAAGAUAUUUGCACGCGACAUCAACGGGAAGGUGCUGACAUUCGCGGCGUGCAACCACUGCUGCAAGAUACUAACAGGCAGUUCCAAGGGUGGCACCACACACCUCGCAAGGCACGCGUGCCCGUGCAAGCUCAAACCAGUAGAAGCUGGCAGAAAUGCCAAGGAUUCCUAA
rnacentral:rRNA from 1 species